rnacentral:misc_RNA from 1 species
UGAUGAUGUCACCAGAACAGAAACAUAAAGGAGUGAUUGCUGCAUCAGCUGGAAACCAUGCACUGGCUUUGAGUUACCACGGGCAGAAACUAGGUAUUCCAGUGACAGUCGUGAUGCCUAUUAUCGCACCAAUCAUGAAGAUAACUAUGUGUGAACAGUUUGGUGCUAACAUCAUUAUUAAGGGAGCUGACAUUGGAGAGUCGAAAGAACAAGCAUUACAACUUGCCAAGGAAAAUGGAUUGUUAUAUGUGAACGGGUAAGUUUUUAUCA